UACGUAGGGGGCAAGCGUUGUCCGGAUUUAUUGGGCGUAAAGAGCGUGUAGGCGGCCAAAUAGGUCGGUUGUGAAAACUCGAGGCUCAACCUCGAGACGUCGACGGAAACCAUCUGGCUAGAGUCCGGAAGAGGAGAGUGGAAUUCCUGGUGUAGCGGUGAAAUGCGCAGAUAUCAGGAAGAACACCCGUGGCGAAGGCGGCUCUCUGGGACGGUACUGACGCUGAGACGCGAAAGCGUGGGGAGCGAACAGG
rnacentral:rRNA from 1 species